rnacentral:rRNA from 1 species
GAUGAACGCUGGCGGCGUGCCUAAUACAUGCAAGUCGAGCGAACAGACGAGGAGCUUGCUCCUCUGACGUUAGCGGCGGACGGGUGAGUAACACGUGGAUAACCUACCUAUAAGACUGGGAUAACUUCGGGAAACCGGAGCUAAUACCGGAUAAUAUAUUGAACCGCAUGGUUCAAUAGUGAAAGACGGUUUUGCUGUCACUUAUAGAUGGAUCCGCGCCGCAUUAGCUAGUUGGUAAGGUAACGGCUUACCAAGGCAACGAUGCGCAUCCGACCUGAGAGGGUGAUCGGCCACACUGGAACUGAGACACGGUCCAGACUCCUAAGGGACGCAGCAGUAGCGAAUCUUCCGCAAUGGGCGAAAGCCUGGCGGAGCAACACCGCGUGAGUGAUGAAGGUCUUCGGUUCGUAAAACUCUGUUAUUAGGGAAGAACAGAUGUGUAAGUUGCUAUACACGUCUUGACGGUACCGAAUCAGAAAGCCACGGCUAACUACGUG